GUAAUUUUAGAUUUUUAUUUCAAUAACGCUACGGGUACAAACUUGUUUACCAAUUUUUGGAUACCAACACAUGUGGCACAUGACAUAGGUUGCCGUGUCAUGUGCCACAUGUGUUGGUAUUCAAAAGUUGGUAAACAAGUUGGUACCCGUAGCGUUAUUGUUUUUAUUUUUAAGAAAUGGUAAAUUAAGAACUCAGAAACUCACUUCACA
rnacentral:sRNA from 1 species